GAUGAACGCUGGCGGCGUGCCUAAUACAUGCAAGUCGAGCGAACGGACGAGAAGCUUGCUUCUCUGAUGUUAGCGGCGGACGGGUGAGUAACACGUGGAUAACCUACCUAUAAGACUGGGAUAACUUCGUGAAACCGGAGCUAAUACCGGAUAAUAUUUUGAACCGCAUGGUUCAAAAGUGAAAGACGGUCUUGCUGUCACUUAUAGAUGGAUCCGCGCUGCAUUAGCUAGUUGGUAAGGUAACGGCUUACCAAGGCAACGAUGCAUAGCCGACCUGAGAGGGUGAUCGGCCACACUGGAACUGAGACACGGUCCAGACUCCUACGGGAGGCAGCAGUAGGGAAUAUUCCGCAAUGGGCGAAAGCCUGACGGAGCAACGCCGCGUGAGUGAUGAAGGUCUUCGGAUCGUAAAACUCUGUUAUUAGGGAAGAACAUAUGUGUAAGUAACUGUGCACAUCUUGACGGUACCUAAUCAGAAAGCCACGGCUAACUACGUG
rnacentral:rRNA from 1 species